rnacentral:rRNA from 1 species
UUUUAUGAGAGUUUGAUCCUGGCUCAGGAUGAACGCUGGCGGCGUGCUUAACACAUGCAAGUCGAACGGAGUUUACCAGAGUGCUUGCACUCAGGUAAACUUAGUGGCGGACGGGUGAGUAACGCGUGGGUAACCUGCCUUAUACAGGGGGAUAACAGUCGGAAACGACUGCUAAUACCGCAUAAGCGCACAGUAUCGCAUGAUACGGUGUGAAAAACUCCGGUGGUAUAAGAUGGACCCGCGUCUGAUUAGCUGGUUGGUGAGGUAACGGCUCACCAAGGCGACGAUCAGUAGCCGGCCUGAGAGGGUGAACGGC